UUGGAGGUUAUUUCAAAUGUAUUAUGAAACCUAUAUUUUGAGAAGUUGUGAGGAAUUUAUUUUUGCAAGCUGGCAUAUUGAUGAAUAACAAAUGGAUUUGCUGGUUUAUUAAUAGUGUCCCGACUACUGACAACAUCGACCAACAAUCUACGAAUGAUGGGGAGUGAACGUGUCGUUGAUGAAAACAAAGGCUGAUACGUGCAACCGCCAAUUCCUGAAUCUCUGAACGUUAGAUCACACGAGACAUGAUUGGUAGGAUGUUGUUCUCAGUCGUCCGGACGGCAACAACCAGAAAAACAAAUGUCCCAAAAUGAUGGUUGGGUUAGUCGAAUGAAGUUUAUCGGAAUUCGACAAGCCCAGAAUCUGGUUUGGCUGCAUGACAGUUGGGCUGCUGUUAAACUGAUGAGCUACAGUAAUUGUAAAGCAGGCAAAUACGAGCAAAUGUCCAAGGCAGAGGUCAUAAACAGGAGGUCCUGACAGGAUGUGUUCGAAGGUUAUCCGAUUUUCCAAUACGAGCAGACGUCCCACACUGAAUCCCUGACUGUGGUUUUAUGACCAAGAGACGCUUGGGCAAUAGGAUAUCUUCAUAUAGAUGGGCCAAUACUAGCACUCGUCUCACACUCAAUCUCUGUACCUUAAAUGACCUGAGGCACAUUCUUGAAGGAUGUUAUCCUGAGUGAUUGUCCGGCAGUUACCUGAAUGGAAGGUAGAUUACUAGAUAGGAUGAUAGGAGCAACCGUCAACCACCGCCAUUUUCUGGUAGGAUGAGGGCAAAAACAACAACAGGAAGAUAUCUAGAUGGAAAACGAUUACUGAUCUGAAGGUCACAAGGGGCGCUUUCUGGCGACGUGUCGUCUUGAGUUGUCCGGCAUAAACCUUAAGCAAAGAUGGAGCUGUAUGCCGAUGAACUAUAUAGGAAUGCGACACGCAUAUAAUCUGUUUUGGCUGUAUCACAGUUGUCUCCCUUGGGCUGUUGUUUAACUUAUGAUUUAUAUGUUGAGACAAAAAAGACCGAUGAGGUGGUAUGCUGUAGACACUUGAAACGUUAUCAGCCUUCCUUUCUUCAAAACAACAUUGCAGUAAUCUCCCUUUGACUGCUGGAACCCAAAAGGUUUGCAGAUUGAGGGCAAAUAGUAAGAGAUAUAUGAGCAGACUUCCCACAGAAUAUCCUUGAUAUGGACGUCAUGUGGAGCUCUUCCUGGCAGGAUAUAGUCAUUGGUUGUCCAUCAAAAACCAGAAACACACAUAGAAAGAUAGAUACAUGUAAUGUGUUUUGGUUUGUUUACAUGUUUGUCGAGUCAGAACUUAUAUGAAUAUGUUACAUCUACCAAUGGAUAAAUAGCUGAUUUCUCAAGGAAACAUUACAUGCAAAUGACAAAGUGUGUUUGUGGUUCACUUAUGACGCUCUUGUCUCAAUUGAGUAAACAGCGAUACAAGUUUAACUUUUUGUUGUAAAUGCUGUUGUUUUUUGUAUAGACAUUUUUUUAUAAUUGUCUUUACAACUGCAAUGGUGUAAUGUUUACGCGAAUGGUGAUUAUGAAAUCUCAUGUAAGCCACCAUUCAUGACAGAAGAUAGAAUUGAGAGCAGAAAGUCGAAAUAACCAUAUGUGUUUGUAAUAACCACUUGCAGUUAUUUGCCUUUAUCCCUAAAUCAUUUUGGUAUUUGUUUUACCAUGAGUUAAUAUGGAAUAAUUUUGAAAUAUAUAUCACUAUUUUAUUUUAGCAAAAAAAAUGUGAAUUCCUUUUUUUUUUUUUUUGCUUACUGUUCAAGUGUUUUUAGCUUAUUAAAUUUAAUUUCUUUG